rnacentral:rRNA from 1 species
UACGUAGGCAGCGAGCGUUGUUCGGAGUUACUGGGCGUAAAGGGUGUGUAGGCGGUUGUUUAAGUUUGGUGGUAAAUCUUCCGGCUCAACUGCGAGGGUGCGCCGAAUACUGAAUGACUUGGAGUGUGGGAGAGGUGAGUGGAAUUCCUGGUGUAGCGGUGAAAUGCGUAGAUAUCAGGAGGAACACCGGUGGUGUAGACGGCUCACUGGACCAUAACUGACGCUGAGACACGAAAGCGUGGGGAGCAAAAGGG